GGAAUUCGCCCUUAGAGUUUGAUCCUGGCUCAGAUUGAACGCUGGCGGCAGGCUUAACACAUGCAAGUCGAGCGGUAACGGAUCUAGCUUGCUAGAUGCUGACGAGCGGCGGACGGGUGAGUAACGCGUAGAAAACUGCCCAGUAGUGGGGGAUAGCCCGGGGAAACUCGGAUUAAUACCGUAUACGCUCUACGGAGGAAAGGGGGCUUCGGCUCUCGCUAUUGGAUGUGUCUGCGUGGGAUUAGCUAGUUGGUGAGGUAAAGGCUCACCAAGGCGACGAUCUCUAGCUGGUCUGAGAGGAUGAUCAGCCACACUGGGACUGAGACACGGCCCAGACUCCUACGGGAGGCAGCAGUGGGGAAUAUUGCACAAUGGGGGAAACCCUGAUGCAGCCAUGCCGCGUGUGUGAAGAAGGCUUUCGGGUUGUAAAGCACUUUCAGUGGGGAGGAAAAGUUAGUAGUUAAUACCUGCUAACCGUGACGUUACCCACAGAAGAAGCACCGGCUAACUCCGUGCCAGCAGCCGCGGUAAUACGGAGGGUGCAAGCG
rnacentral:rRNA from 1 species